AUUAUAAAUUAAACCCUCUGGUCUUAAACUGCCAAUAGUAUAAGUCGACUUCAGGGAAUAUUCCAGAAGUCUUCCAACAGGACAAUAACCCUCAAACACACCUCAAGCUUUUUGUUCAAGAAGGAGAGUGAUGGAGUGCUGCAUCAGAUGAACUCUCCUCCACGAUCACCUGACCUAAAUCCAGAUGAGAGGGUUUGGAAUAAAUUGGAACAGAGAGUGAAGGAAAAGCAGCCAACAAGCACUCAGCACCACUAGGAACUCCACAAGAUUGUUGGAAAACCUUUCGUGACUACCUCAUGAAGCUGACACGCUUGGAAAAUGCCAAGAGGGUCAAAGCUGUCAAAAAAUCGAAAUAAUAAAAUAUAUUCCAGUUAAUUUAA